CAGCUCGGAGUCCAGUGUUCUCCCACCUGUCAUCGUCUCUUCAGGGCCUGUGGACCAUCCGAGCCUUUGGAGCAGAGGAGAGGUUCCAGAAAGCCUUCAAUGCCCAGCAGGACCUGCACUCAGAGGCCUGGUUACUGUUGCUGACCACCUCUCGCUGGUUCGCUGUCCGUCUCCACGGCAUCUGCUCCAUCUUUGUUACCGUCACCACCUUUGGCUGCCUGCUGCUCAGAGACCUAGAUGGAGUUUGGAGAAG